rnacentral:rRNA from 1 species
UAGGGAAUCUUCGGCAAUGGGGGGAACCCUGACCGAGCAACGCCGCGUGAGUGAAGAAGGUUUUCGGAUCGUAAAGCUCUGUUGUUAAGGAAGAACGAGUGUGAGAAUGGAAAGUUCAUGCUGUGACGGUACUUAACCAGAAAGGGACGGCUAACUACGUGCCAGCAGCCGCGGUAAUACGUAGGUCCCGAGCGUUGUCCGGAUUUAUUGGGCGUAAAGCGAGCGCAGGCGGUUAGAAAAGUCUGAAGUGAAAGGCAGUGGCUCAACCAUUGUAGGCUUUGGAAACUGUUUGACUUGAGUGCAGAAGGGGAGAGUGGAAUUCCAUGUGUAACGGUGAAAUGCGUAGAUAUAUGGAGGAACACCUGUGGCGAAAGCGGCUCUCUGGUCUGUAACUGACGCUGAGGCUCGAAAGCGUGGGGAGCGAACAGG